rnacentral:rRNA from 1 species
GCCAGACUUGGAACCGGGAGAGGUAAGAGGUACUACAGGGGUACGGAGUGAAAUCUUGUAAUCCCUGUGGGGACCACCUGUGGCGAAGGCGUCUUACCAGAACGGGUUCGACGGUGAGGGACGAAAGCUGGGGGCACGAACCGGAUUAGAUACCCGGGUAGUCCCAGCCGUAAACGAUGCUCGCUAGGUGUCAGGCAUGGCGCGACCGUGUCUGGUGCCGCAGGGAAGCCGUGAAGCGAGCCACCUGGGAAGUACGGCCGCAAGGCUGAAACUUAAAGGAAUUGGCGGGGGAGCACAACAACGGGUAGGAGCCUGCGGUUUAAUUGGACUCAACGCCGGACAACUCACCGGGGGCGACAGCAAUAUGUAGGCCAAGCUGAAGACUUUGCCUGAAUCGCUGAGUGGAGGUGCAUGG